GCCACACCGGUGGUCUUGGCCACCUUGAUUUUCACAGGGACUACGAGGAGAUCGAAGUUGGUUAUCCCCAAUCUGUUUGCCAGCAAGACAGCUGAAUGGGUGCUGGUUGUGUAUAUAAUGGGAGAGGGAUCCUGUGCUGUUCUGCAUGAGAGGGAUGCUCUUGUCCUGAGAGUUGGGCAAAGCCUACAAACAGUGUGUAUUUGACCUGCAUCUUCUGGAGACCAGUGAUGAGAAGGAGUAGAGUUCCUAGUUCCAAGCACAGCCUCCUUCAAGACUUCACAGAUUGGGUAUGGGAAGAAUGCACAGCCAUGGUUACCUAAUGGUGCUGGAAGAGCACCAUCCUCUUUCACCUUUUGCUGCAUUGUUAAUGCUUGCUUAAGGCUUGUGUCUGUGAAUCCUCCCUGAUGAAGCCAGACUGGCCCUAGAAACGUUGCUGUCCAUUCAGACAGAGACCAGCUCACAGAUUUGUCCCCAUAAUAGAGAAAAAAGGAUUUCUAGCUGACCUCCAUAGGUUUCCUUUGGGAGAAGUAAAAUAAACCUUCAUCACUGAUAAGCUGACUUACUCCAUUUAGAUCCCCCCCAUUACUUUUGGUACAAUUAUGUGCAAGCAGUGAUUGCAUGAAGCUGCCUGGAUUCCAUGUAAAUGAUAUGUCUUUGGCAUACAGGAGUUUUUGUAAAUCAUUUAAAGCAAGGCAUUCUUCCAUGCUUGGCAGAAGAAGGAUACAGAGAGCUUUUGUACCUCAGUUGCAUCAAAUUGAAUAUUUCUUUAAUCGCCCUGGAGAAGAAUGCACUUGAUUGCAUUCUGCGAGUUCUGCUGUUAUUGUUCUUGGACAGACCUGGUGGGUAACAGAUGACCUGACUCCACACCACCACCACCUCGGCCACCCCCUCAAAUUUACCAGCUCUUCUCCCUUGGGCAAGACCUGCUCCACGGGAGUAGUAAUUGUGCAUAGUCAAAAGAAUGUGAGGGAAUAGCCAUUAAUAAAAAAGUUGGCAACCCCCUGCAAGAAGAGCUAUUUUCACAUGAAAAUCUUCUCCAAAGAAGUAAUGAAGCUUUGCUUCAUUUGACAUCUUAUCAGGUAAUUGCACAGAAGGUGAU